UCAACAACAGGUCCAUAAACAUUUAAAUCAAGGUAAAAGUAAUGGAGAACUUUUCAAGACCCCGAAAAAUAUAUAGAACUUUCGAGAAGAAGCUGAGGAAACAACGGAAAAUCACCGAAAUUGAGACUUGUGGUGAACUUGUGGACAUACAUGUAUGUAUCAACAAUUGUAAUAUAAUCAUAUUUAAAGGUGAAAUCUAGCCUUACAUAUGGACUUAACGAAAUUAAAGGCCAAUUGAAGAUGGAAUUAAAAUAUGUCAUCACGUUCUGAUAUUGCUACCAAUGGAAACUUAUGGAAAUUUAAUUGGAUGAAAUUCUUAAAAUCUGACUGCAUUUUUUGCGCGUGUUAUAACUUCUGGCCCGGCCAGCAUUUCCUGUCCAUAAUGUGGAGGCUUCUCGAUGGGUUUCCCCUGUUUUCCACUCCUCGGAAAACUUUCUGUGCGGGGCGACGACAAUCAUAAUCGGCAUUGACAAACGCACAUUGCGUAUACUUAUCGAGUGUAGCGCGCAUAUGCAUUUCUACGAGCACAUUCAACUGGUAUUACAUGGUCUUCGGACGAAUGUGGUGGACGGGGGGAGAUGGCUUUCAAAACAUUCCCAAAGGUGUCAAGAUUAUGUGCAUAAAUAAUGAGAUUUUCAGACAGCA